GCCCAACAAGAAAGAGUUUGGGUUGGGCCCCUCCCGCCGGGGCCCCCGGGUCCCGGGGCCGACGGACACCCCCCAGGGCGCGACCCCCCCCCCCGGCCACCCAAUUUUGAAAAGCCCCACAACCUUUGGAAGUAAAAAAUCGUAACAAGGUCUCCGUUGGUGAACCAGCGGAGGGAUCAUUACCGAGUUUACAACUCCCAAACCCAAUGUGAACCAUACCAAACUGUUGCCUCGGCGGGGUCACGCCCCGGGUGCGUCGCAGCCCCGGAACCAGGCGCCCGCCGGAGGGACCAACCAAACUCUUUCUGUAGUCCCCUCGCGGACGUUAUUUCUUACAGCUCUGAGCAAAAAUUCAAAAUGAAUCAAAACUUUCAACAACGGAUCUCUUGGUUCUGGCAUCGAUGAAGAACGCAGCGAAAUGCGAUAAGUAAUGUGAAUUGCAGAAUUCAGUGAAUCAUCGAAUCUUUGAACGCACAUUGCGCCCGCCAGUAUUCUGGCGGGCAUGCCUGUCCGAGCGUCAUUUCAACCCUCGAACCCCUCCGGGGGGUCGGCGUUGGGGAUCGGGAACCCCUAAGACGGGAUCCCGGCCCCGAAAUACAGUGGCGGUCUCGCCGCAGCCUCUCCUGCGCAGUAGUUUGCACAACUCGCACCGGGAGCGCGGCGCGUCCACGUCCGUAAAACACCCAACUUCUGAAAUGUUGACCUCGGAUCACGUGAAGCCAGCC
rnacentral:rRNA from 1 species